rnacentral:lncRNA from 1 species
UAAGUUUCCUUCGCCCGCCUGCAGGAAUCAGCGGCUGCGGCCAAGGCCCAGUUUGACAAGUUCGUGUUGGACAAGACGGAGGAGAAAGCGGCCUUUGACCUGGUGCUGGAAAAGACGGCGGCUGAGGCGGCGGCACAGAAGGCCAUUGCUGACAAGGCGUUAGUUGACUUCGGCGAGCUGCAGGUAUUGUGCUUGGGGAAGGGUCUCGCGUACUUCGAGGAGGUCUGGAUUGAUAAUCACCCCAAAUUCUGCUGCUCACGAGCAGGAGUCUUCAACGGCUGCUAAGGCCCAGUUUGACAAGUUCGUAUUGGACAAGGCGGAGGAGAAAGCGGCCUUUGACUUGGUGCUGGAGAAGACGACGGCUGAGGCGGCGGCACAGAAGGCCAUUGCUGACAAGGCGUUAGUGGACUUCGGCGAGCUGCAGGUAUUGUGCUUGGGGAAGGGUCUCGCGUACUUCGAGGAGGUCUGGAUUGAUAAUCACCCCAAAUUCUGCUGCUCACGAGCAGGAGUCUUCAACUGCCGCCAAGGCCCAGUUUGACAAGUUCGUGUUGGACAAGGCGGAGGAGAAAGCGGCCUUUGAUCUGGUGCUGGAGAAGACCACAGCUGAGGCGGCGGCACAGAAGGCCAUUGCUGACAAGGCGUUAGUGGACUUCGGCGAGCUGCAGGUAUUGUGCUUGGGGAAGGGUCUCGCGUACUUCGAGGAGGUCUGGAUUGAUAAUCACCCCAAAUUCUGCUGCUCACGAGCAGGAGUCUUCAACUGCCGCCAAGGCCCAGUUUGACAAGUUCGUGUUGGACAAGGCGGAGGAGAAAGCGGCCUUUGAUCUGGUGCUGGAGAAGACGACAGCUGAGGCGGCGGCACAGAAGGCCAUUGCUGACAAGGCGUUAGUGGACUUCGGCGAGCUGCAGGUAUUCUGCUUGGGAAAGGGUCUCGCGUACUUCGAGGAGGUCUAUUAUUGAUAAUUAACCCAAAAUUGGCUGCUCACGAGCAGGAGUCUUCAACUGCCGCCAAGGCCCAGUUUGACAAGUUCGUGUUGGACAAGGCGGAGGAGAAAGCGGCCUUUGACUUGGUGCUGGAGAAGACGACGGCUGAGGCGGCGGCACAGAAGGCCAUUGCUGACAAGGCGUUAGUGGACUUCGGCGAGCUGCAGGUAUUCUGCUUGGGAAAGGGUCUCGCGUACUUCGAGAAGGUUUGUUUUGAU